CUUAUCUAGUCGCUGUUCCUCUGAUCUUGGUCUUCCCUUUCAUGUCACCCCCAGUUAUCUUCAGGAUUUUGCUCUAUUAUUUCAUCUCCUUCCAAUAGCUUUAAGCUUUGCUCAGUUUUAUCCUAUCAGAAAACUAUACCAAUCUGGUCCAGAGACUGCCUUCUUCAGCCACUGCUUAUUCCCCUUUCCUUUAUGCCAAGAUUAUUUCAAAAAAAAAUUCUGUAUUCUCUUCCUGUCUUCUACAUCAUACUUUGACCACUGAAUCUGUUCUUCCAGAGACAUCCCUAACUUUCUAAUGGUUCAUCUAUUUACUGUUCUGUAUUCUCAUUUGAUUAGACUUCUUCAUAGUAUUUUAUACCUGCCUGAAGAGCAGUUGUUCUUUAUUUUUUACUAAAUAACCAUUGUACUUUUGGAAGGAAGUUUAGAAAUCAUUACUAAUUUUAGGUCCCUAAAAUUAACUUUGUGUCCUAGUACAAGAAGAUACUAAGACAUUUAAGGACCAAAAUUUGUGGGAAUGCCUACUGUAUGCCUGAUAUGAUGCUAGUUGUUUUCCAUAAAUUUAGUUACAACUUCUAGUGACUUUGGCAGGUGUUGGUUCUGAAUGUGCAAAUGAGGAAAUUGAAACAUGGAGAUCUGAAAGUUACUUUUUUUUUUUUAGUUGUAGAUGGACACAAUCCCUUUAUUUUAUUUAUUUAUAUGUGGUCCUGAGGAUGGAACCCAGUGCCUCACACGUCAGGCAAGCGCUCCACCACUGAGCUACAACUCCACCCCUGCAAGUUACAUCUUUUUUUUUAAAUAUAUUUUUUUUAAAGAUGGAUAAGAUAUCUUUAUUUUUAUGUGGUGCUGAGGAUCAAACCCAGUGCCUCAUUUGUGCGAGGCAAGAGCUCUAUCACUGAGCUAUAACCCCAGCUUCUGAAAGUUACUUCUUAUAUGUAUUGUAGCUUAUAUAUACACCUUAUUUUAUAGCUUAGACUUAAAUUCAAACAUUCAUACUCUUUCCAUUAAAUACUCAGGUAUGUGUCUAUUAAGCCUGUCUUUUUUUCUUUGGUUGGAGAUUAAACCCAGUGCCUUGUGUGUGCUUUGUACCAGUAAGCUAUACUUUCAGCCCUCCAUUUUUUUGUUUGACUUAUAUGUCUGUCUAUAUAUAUUAGAUGAACUAGAAUGAUUGUUAUGUCAGAGAAAAGACCUAUAUUAAUUCUGAUUAGGUGGAUAACUUGUGUUUCAAUAUGAAAGCCAUAAUAAAUGGCUUUCAGUCUUUAGAAUUUUAUUAGCUCAAUAUCUAUCACAAAAAACUAAUCUUAGUUGUUUUCUUUCUAAAAUAGUGUUUCUGUC
rnacentral:lncRNA from 1 species